AGUGAACGCUGGCGGUAGGCCUAACACAUGCAAGUCGAACGGCAGCACAGUAAGAGCUUGCUCUUACGGGUGGCGAGUGGCGGACGGGUGAGGAAUACAUCGGAAUCUACUUUUUCGUGGGGGAUAACGUAGGGAAACUUACGCUAAUACCGCAUACGACCUACGGGUGAAAGCAGGGGAUCUUCGGACCUUGCGCGAUUGAAUGAGCCGAUGUCGGAUUAGCUAGUUGGCGGGGUAAAGGCCCACCAAGGCGACGAUCCGUAGCUGGUCUGAGAGGAUGGUAGGCCACACUGGAACUGAGACACGGUCCAGACUACUACGGGAGGCAGCAGUGGGGAAUAUUGGACAAUGGGCGCAAGCCUGAUCCAGCCAUACCGCGUGGGUGAAGAAGGCCUUCGGGUUGUAAAGCCCUUUUGUUGGGAAAGAAAAGCAGCAGGUUAAUACCCCGCUGUUCUGACGGUACCCAAAGAAUAAGCACCGGCUAACUUCGUG
rnacentral:rRNA from 1 species